CAGCCGUAAACUAUGCGCGUUAGGUGUAUCGGUGACCACGAGUUACCGAGGUGCCGAAGGGAAACCGUGAAACGUGCCGCCUGGGAAGUACGGUCGCAAGGCUGAAACUUAAAGGAAUUGGCGGGGGGAGGCACCACAACAGGUGGAGCCUGCGGUUUAAUUGGACUCAACGCCGGGAAGCUCACCGGAUAGGACAGCAGAAUGAUUGCCGGGCUGAAGACCCUGCAUGACUAGCUGAGAGGAGGUGCAUGGCGUAGACGUCU
rnacentral:rRNA from 1 species